UUUCUUUUUUUCCAGGGGGCAGCCAUGGCAGGGAGGGGGGGCGAUGCUGCGCUCCGGCGCCGCAUCAGGCGGCUGCAGGGAGGUGGGAGCCACGCGCGGAGACGAAUGAGGAGAUAAUGAAGAGGCAUGGGGGAGAGGCGGGUGAGCGGGAAGGGCCGGGGCAUCGCCCACGAUGCAGGCGAGCGGGAAGGGCGGCGGCCUUGCGGUGGCACAGUCGGCGAGGCCCUGUCGGAUCUUGCCGGGUCCGGUCAGAAAUGGCACGCAAGCGGCGGAUCUGCAAGGAAGGCGGCCGGAGCUUGGAGCAUGACGGUUGGCGCGCACGGCAUGGCCGGUGUCGGGUACCCGUCAGAGAAGAGAGAGAUGCGCGGGAGAGAAAAGAGACGAUGGGAAGGAGAUGGAAGGCCGGAGGAAGAGAGAAGGGAGUGGUAGUCCUGCUGCUGCUCGCCGGUGGCUAGCUGGAACUGCAGCCCCGCGCAUCACGUGGUGACGCCAAGGCCCAGGUCUUCUUGACCCGUUGCCUCAUUCUUUCCCAGGGUAAAAAUCUAGGCUGGAUCGCUAGCUUCCUCCAAGGGCAAGAUCGCCGCCUCUGCCAGCACUAAGAAAACAACUGGCGAAGGCAAGGCGGCCAAGGUCUUCUCCCAAACCGGCCAGAAGUUUGAAACAGCAGAGGAGAUCGAGCGGCAAGACACGGGGCCUCAACAUGCAUGGGUUGUCUUUUGUUGAGUCAUACUUGAAUUUCCCUCCACAAAAAAUCGCACGUGAAUUAUGAAGUUAACUACCAUGACGUCUAGGUACUUAUUGCUGCCACUGCUCACAGGUUAUUUUGAUGGUGUUUUUUGCUGAGCGUCUUGCAUGGACAAUCCUUCCAAAUUUCAAUAUAUGCAUUCAUGUUUCUCUUAACUUCUAACUUCUAAGGCACGAAGACUGGACAUUCCUAUGGUGACUCUCUGAUUUAUGGUCAAAAAGUUGUUCACAUUUGUUUUUGAUUUCUCCCCUAAAUAUCUGAAGACAAAUGAUUUUUAUCAUUGGCUAUACCAGAUAAUUCAAAUAGUCCCUAAUCUUGCCCAUGCAUUUUUUGUUUAAGUUUGACUUUCGUAUGAGAUAAUCUGGAGAAAUUUAUGUUGUUUCCGGUGGCAAAGUGCAACAUGAACUGUUGUUGCAAGUCCACCAUAUUUUCUCAAAUUUUAGAAGCUAUUCAUUGGCAUGUAUUUUAUUAGUUUUAUUAGUGCUUCCAUUACUUUCUAUUAAAAUAUGCUUAAUGGGCUAAAGGCUGUACCUUUUCAGAAAGUUGCAGUGUGUGGUAUGUUUGCUGAACUUGUGAUGGAAGUUCUUCACGCAGGACCUUCGUCCAUAUAGAUUUUAACUUUAAACAUUAUUAUAUUUUGGACAAAUGAUGUGUUUACUGAAUUGUCAUUGUUUUUUUGAAGUUAUACCAUUCGUAAUAUUGCAUUGUAGAUAGACAAAAAGAUAUAGGUAUUAAUUUUUGUGGCUCUAGCAUAAAUGUUUAUCACCACGGUGACAUUUCUUGUUCAAUUUAGAUAAGGAAAAAAACAAGUAUUAAACAGAAAGUAGAGAGGAUAAGAGCAUUGUUGUCCAGGGUGGUUCAUGCCAAAGACUGUAACAAAAUAAUUCCUUAUGGUAGUGCAAAUCAUUGAUGAUGCAGCGGAAGUUACACAAGUUCUGCUAGAAUUUCUCUCAGAUAACAUGGAUGGAGGUGAGUUUUGCAUAAUCCAUCUCAGUAAGAAGCUUGCAUUGAGUAAUUCUUUUCAAAAAGCUUACCAUGCGCAACUACAUGAUACUUGCAGUUCUUAGUGUCAAUUGACAGCGACAUUCUUCAAUGGGAAACCUUGCAUAUAAUUGUCUUGAGUACAACAAUACAUGAUUUUCUGGCAAUAAAAUGUUCAUGAUUGAUGCAUAAUGUGUGCUCUGUCCGCAUUUUAAUUAUUUAUAUUAAUAUUUCUGGUUAUCACUGCAGGAGUUGCAAUGGAGUUGAUGAGGGAAGUCUGCAAUCCAGACUGCUAAGUGGUAACCACUCCGGAUUUUAUGGAUAGUAAAUGGUCCACUGCUAUUGACAGGCACAUAAUAUGAGAGAUAUGUGUGGUUCGUGGCUGCUAAACGGUCGUCCCCUCGAAGACAUGGACAAGGUGCGUGUGGUUCACAACGCGACCUCAUGUCUUACCACGUCAACCAGCCGGUGCCCAUCAUCAGACAUGCUCUUCUCCUGGACGUCAUUGGGAAGAAGCCCAUCUCUUUUGAUCUGUUUGUGCCCUUCACUAGUGCCCAUGGAGUCGGACUGAGAGUUUCUCAGGGGUGUGACACAAACUACUUGAGUUUAAACUAAUUUCCGUCUCUACUGAAAUUUUCUUUUAAAAAUUUAAAGUAUGCUAAUGCUUUUUUUUUAUUGUUCAGGUAGAUUCCAGCACGAGUGUUCACCUUUUUUUCUGCAUGUAAUGAGAAUGUUGUGGCUAAUAGGUUUAAAAUUGUCAUUUUAGUUUCCCCUCAAAUUAUAUUUUGUCAUUUUGCUAUCAUUCAUUGAAAUUAUGGAACACACAAAAGAAGUAUAAGCAGCGACAUAUGCCAACAUGGAUAAACCUAUGUGGAUGGGGUAUUUCAUUCAUUUUAUUUUAGGAUGUGAUUUUUGUU